CAGAAUAGGUGGGCCUCGAUCCCACAACACACUAGUUAACAGCUAAUUAUCCAAUCCAGCGGACUUCUACUCA
rnacentral:tRNA from 1 species